AGCCAUUUGUAGACGGUAGACAUGAUGAUGUAAUUUAGUUUUGUUAUAUACCCAGUCAAUGACUUGUGGUGUUCAGUUCCUUCAACACCAAAUUUCCAGAAUCCAUCAAAACGGCAGUCGUUGGGCCAGAAACCACGGCUGCAGUACUCACAUCAGCAAUUCGAUCGCCUCCCCCCAUUUACGACCGAUGAAGUUCUGUACCAGAUUCCAAGGUAGCGGCGGUGCGAUUCUGGAGCGGUGAAGAAUCCCAAAGCAAAGACUCCAAAGGCUGAAACCAAGUGGUGCCCAUGUUUCAGCUGUUGCCCUUGUACAAGUGUAUCACUGUCACGGUUUGACAACAGGGGGGCAUAGUUCCAGUGCCACAAAAGUGAUGAUGAAGAAGAAGCAGCUGGCAGACAAGAUGAAUGGAUCUCCUGCUAAUUUGGUAAUAACCAUUAUCAAUGAUGAUCCCUAAAAUGCUGUUAUUAAUGUUAAUCCACGGAUUGACUACUGAAACCUUCUCAAACGGAGACUUUGACUCAAUCUUCCACAUUGUUGUCCACAGCUCCAUUAUCCACAUUGCUACAAUAGGCAAAAUUCCAACUAUCAUCUUAAUUAUUAUAAGGUUGUUUUCUCCGAGCUUUGCUGUGGAGUUCAAUCUUAAUUAUUAUAGGGUUUUUUUUCCGUGCUCCGUUGUGAAGCUAAUUGAUCGUACCGAUCCCGAUCCUUGUAUGUUAUUACUAUCUAUACGUAUUGAAAUGUAUGGUAAAACAUUUGGUUCUCACAAAAUUGUGUAUGGUCGAAGUUAACAAAAUGUAAUUCAUGUAACGACGGCUCAACACGAAAAAAGUAAGUCAAUUUUGAAAAUUUUGCCACUAAUAUAACACCAAGUAAAAUUGAUUUUUAAUUUCAUUUGAUCAUUAUUUAUGUGGGUUAUCAUAAUGAAAUUUAAUUUUUUAGUCAUUUCUAACAUGCAUACCAAAUAUUAGCCGAUUUAAAAAUUUUUAAAAUUUUCUUGUGAAAAUAAUCAAAUUUGCAUAGUAUAACACACGGUAAAUGACCAAUUUUAACAUAAAAAUUGAAAAUUGACUAAAAUUUGACAUGCAUGUUGGGAAUUGCUAAAAAUUAAGGUUUCACCAUGUUAAAUCCAUCAAAUAAUAGUCAAAUAAAAUUUAAAAUAUCUUUUAAGGGUUUUGAUUAUUGUUGUUAGUAGGGAUAUAUAUGCUUUCGACUACAAAAAUCUUAAUUUGGAUUUUUAACAGUUUCUCAAGAGACUUGACUUUUGAUCUCUAACCAUUAUUUAUAGAGAUUAUUAUAGUAAAACUUAAUUUUUUAAUCAUUUUCAACAUCAAUAUCAGAUAUUAAUGGAUUUAAAAAUUUUGAAAAUUUCUUCUAAUUCCGCACUUUUAUAUGGUCCAAUGAGUUUUCUAACUUGACUUUUUUUCUGGUCAGGCCUUGGAACCAAUCUGUAGAACUCCCGGGUCCACCAUCAUCCUCUUAAAAUCUAGAAUGAAGGGCCUGGAGGAUCCAGCGGCCAGAUCUAAGCAACUUAUAAAGAAGCAACGAUAGCUAAGAUCAUGGAAAAUUGCUUAGGCAUAUUAAGAGGGCACAUGCAUGGUUGCACUGAGCAAUAACAGUACCAGUGUGUAUGUCCAGGAAGAUAGAGAUAUGUUACUGUCAGAAAGUGACUUCACUGUACCACCAUUCUAAAUGCGCCUUAUCAUCA
rnacentral:lncRNA from 1 species